rnacentral:rRNA from 1 species
AUUGAACGCUGGCGGCAUGCCUAACACAUGCAAGUCGAACGGCAGCACAGCAGUAGCAAUACUGUGGGUGGCGAGUGGCGGACGGGUGAGGAAUACGUCGGAAUCUGCCCAGUCGUGGGGGAUAACUAGCCGAAAGGUUAGCUAAUACCGCAUACGACCGAGAGGUGAAAGCGGGGGACCGCAAGGCCUCGCGCGAUUGGAUGAGCCGACGUCGGAUUAGCUAGUUGGCGGGGUAAAGGCCCACCAAGGCGACGAUCCGUAGCUGGUCUGAGAGGAUGAUCAGCCACACUGGAACUGAGACACGGUCCAGACUCCUACGGGAGGCAGCAGUGGGGAAUAUUGGGCAAUGGGGGCAACCCUGACCCAGCGACGCCGCGUGAGGGAAGAAGGCCUUCGGGUCGUAAACUUCUUUUGUACGUGAAGAAGCAGAUGACGGUAGCGUACGAAUAAGUCCCGGCUAACUACGUG